UGGGGAAUUUUGCACAAUGGGCGAAAGCCUGAUGCAGCAACGCCGCGUGAGUGAUGAAGGCCUUCGGGUUGUAAAGCUCUGUCUUUUGGGACGAUAAUGACGGUACCAAAGGAGGAAGCCACGGCUAACUACGUGCCAGCAGCCGCGGUAAUACGUAGGUGGCAAGCGUUGUCCGGAUUUACUGGGCGUAAAGGAUGCGUAGGCGGAUUUUUAAGUGAGAUGUGAAAACCCUAAGCUUAACUUGGGGACUGCAUUUCAUACUGGAAAUCUAGAGUGCGGGAGAGGAGAAUGGAAUUCCUAGUGUAGCGGUGAAAUGCGUAGAGAUUAGGAAGAACACCAGUGGCGAAGGCGAUUCUCUGGACCGUAACUGACGCUGAGGCAUGAAAGCGUGGGUAGCAAACAGGAUUAGAUACCCUGGUAGUCCACGCCGUAAACGAUGAGUACUAGGUGUAGGAGGUAUCGACCCCUUCUGUGCCGCAGUUAACACAAUAAGUACUCCGCCUGGGAAGUACGAUCGCAAGAUUAAAACUCAAAUGAAUUGACGGGGGUCAUAGCUG
rnacentral:rRNA from 1 species